ensembl:lncRNA
CUAACUCAUUACAACUUCUAAUCCUAAUUUAAAUUAGGGACUCAAAGAUAGGAAAAAUCCUAACUACCCAUUACAGAACUAGGGCCGUAUUACAGAAACAUCCUAAUAACUAAUCCUAAUAACUCGAAAAUCCUAUUUUAUCUGUUUGGUAACUAUGGUACCAAGGGAUAGGAUCGGAUUUAGGAAAAAAGUCAUUACAGAACGGCUAGUCUCGCAAAGCCAGACCAAACUACAGCAAGUAGAAUGGUCUGGAAUCACGCUACCUCGAGCCGUCUAUCCGUGGGGUAACUGGGCAGGCCUGUUUCAGAGCUAUAGAGAGAGAGAGUUGCGACACUUCCAUUGGACUCCGUUGUAGCCUACUUCCGGGGUAUGGAGCCUCGAAUAGUUCCAAACAACCAUUUUACGGCUUAGGAGACCGUUCAUUUCCAUUGCUGGCCGCCGAUUAACUUCUGAGGUCCUCCACAGUCGCCCCAUCAGUCCCUGGCAGUCUGGUCCCUGGAGCAGCUGGCCCUGGCAAAGUUAUUCCUUCACUGUUGACCCCUGACUGACUGGCCCUCGGCAAGCACAUCCCUGGAUCACCUGCCCCUGGAUCGCCUGCCCCUGAAUCGCCUGCCCCUGGAUCGCCUGCCCCUGGAUCACCUGCCCCUGGAUCACCUGCCCCUGGAUCACCCGCCCCUGGCAAUUUGGCCUCUUGAUUGCUCUCUCUGUCUCCUGUGAUGUCCUUUUCAACGCUCUUGAAAUCCACCUUAAUUUCUCCCUCGAUCUCUGUAACAAUUACAAGCCGUACAUGUGAUAAGCCUUCUCGGACUGAUUGGAGCAUCCAAAUGCUGCACAGCCAACCAUGGUCCCAUGAGCCCUACCGGAAGGGGCGUGACUUCGCCACUCCAUACGGGAAC